CAGCGACAAGGGCAAACCCACCGCGAGGUGGGGACGCAGAGCCACGGGGCCCCACGGGUCAGCCGAGCCGCCGAA
rnacentral:ncRNA from 1 species